CAACACAGAGACAGAUGUCAGUAACAUACAGAGAAACAAAGCCAUGAGGACUUUAGGUGACUCCCCCACUGCCUCCCACACGUGUUUUCACACUAAAAUUGAGAUCAAGUUUAUCUUCUUAAAGCCAGAUUCAUGCUAGCCCUUUUUCCUAGGAAUGGAGAUCUAUCAGAAUUGUAAGCUUUUUAACUUUGCUUCUAGGAAUAAAAAAAUGACUUAGUUUGAAUAUUUUGUUUUCCUAUUACACCCUGUUUUAUCUUUGAAUAUUAAAUAGAAAUAGAUACUAAAUUAUCUGUGUUUAAGUAAAACCUGCCAUAUACUCUCUAAUCUGUUUCCUUUGGCUGCCAGGAUUGAUGUUUCAUUCCAAAUAAAAGAAGAGCACAUGACUCAUGGGAGGUUUCUGUGAGAUUUUUAAAAAUGCAAAACCAUUACUAAAAUGCAAAGGAGAAAUAAUGGGAAGGUACUGAGAUGUUUAUCUUCUCAUAUAAGGAAAGAACAAGAAAAAAUUGCUCAAAUUGCAGAAGGUUUCAGGGCACCCAUCAGGAUUACCUGGACAAGUUACCAAGGCAAAUCAUAGAACCACCUUCUGUAAAGAUCUUUAAAUUUAGGACAAAGCAGGCUAUUACCCUGGCUUUGAUACAGGCCUUUUAAAAGACAGAGAAAUAAGACUUUGCACUUGUCACAUCAAGAACUCUGAAAAAAAGGAAAACACAACUCAGAAGGACCUAGGAGGCCCAUC